AUUUAGGUAAUGACUUCAUUUAUUUAUCAAGUUGCUGCAUUUUUUUUGCCUUAAUUCCUAAUCUAUGAUGUAAGGAGGUUGCUGUAGAUGACACCAGAGUCCCCUCCCAAUGCUGGGAUGUUUGCCUUCUGCUAUGCUCUGCCUAACUUUUGAACUCCCAGUGCAUUCUCUGCCAGCUUGGAAUCUUAUGUGUGUUUUUUAACCCUUGUAUUUUGAAGAAAGUUAUAGAAAGAUAAUACACAAAAUUCACAUGUACUCUUCAUCCAGCGUCCCCUGAUGUAAUAUUUAAUAAUUAUGGUGUAUUUAUGAACACUAAGAAAUUAAUAUUGGCACAGUGGUAAACUCAGACUUUAUUUGGAUUUUACCAGCUUUCCACUAAUGUCCUUUUUCUGUUCCAGGAUCCAAACCAAGAUAUUGUUUAGCAUUCAGUUCUUAUGAAUUUUUAAAUAAAGAGUUCACCAUUUUUUAACAGUUUAUGGAGACAUUAGGAUUAUUAGGAGAUUGAAAACUGAAUACAAAGAAUUCUUCCUGCAGUAAUUAAGUGUAUCAGCCACCCUCUGCGACUUAGGGAUCUCAGGAAUGUUGAGCAUCAAAGGUAUGAGAAAAAUGUUUUCCCCAUAAGAAAUUCUGCAGACUUUCCUGUUGAUGAUGAUGGGGACACUGGUGAGAUAUGGACUGCCUCAUGCAACUAAUUAGACUGAGUUAGUCUCUUGCGACAUAUAUUUGAGGGGCUCACUUUGUUCCAGGUCCAUUGUAGGCGCUGAAGAGACUAUGAUCAUGAGACAAAGUCUCUGUGUUCGAAAAGCUUCUGUUUUCAUCAGGUAAACAAGCAAUGAACAACACAUAUCAUUGGUGACAAGUGCAUCACAGGAUACAGGGGGGAAGUGUUCUUUGACACACCAGAGGAAAAAGAAGUGAUGACAUGGAGAACACUCUUUCUCUGAAUGUGGACUGCAGAAUGAAGAACUGAAUGCCACAGACACAGAGCUAAGAGACAACACAAGCAGGAGCUGUGAAUCCAGGGUUCCUGAUUGCAAGCCUGGGGCAACUUCCAUCACAUGACACAUAGCUUAGCCUCACUAGAACAUCUCAGCUUUCUCUUGUCCCACAGAGGACCUGGUGCACAGCCACCUUUUCCAACCCAAGUUAGAGAACACCCCCGAGCACACUCUGAGAUGGCAAGAUACUAGGGGACCCAGGUGAAAUCUCCUGGCUCUAGUUAGUGACAGAGGCCAUAUCCAUACUUCAGACUGGGACCUGAAGUGUGGUUCUCAGCAGAGAAACCAGGAUAAACCCCAGCAUCACAAGCCACUCAGCCAGGAUGGCACCUCCUUCUAAAGACAGUGCCCCCCGAGCAGACCUCUUUGGCUGAUCCUAUGUCUGCGAUCAAGUCUCUGUUCAGCGUCCCUCCCCUCUCUUUAAACAAACUUGAAGCUAAUUUUGUUACACAAGGCAGCCAGAUUGCACAGCAGUGUGACCAACUCUUCCCCCUGAACAGAUUAAGAGCCUGAAUCCAAUAGGAAGAUGUAAUUGCUCCCCAGCCUGUGAGAAAUUUCUUUCCUUCCAGAUUUUUCUGCGAGACGGGAGUCUGAACUCAAAGUCAUAAUUAUCUAAAAAACACGUUCCUGGUAAUUGGUAUCAGUCCCCAGGCAGCUGAGUCCUAGCGUAAAGAACUUGUUUAGCUUGUUUGUGAGUGCCCAACCCUCUGAUCAGUGAGAGAAAAGGAGAAACAGAGAGUGGAGGGAGGAAGAGAAAGGUCCCUCAACCCUGUCCACCAAAGAUGCAGAGGCAGGGAGGUGGAACAGACUCUCAUCCGUCAGCCUCUCACUUGGCUCCCCAUCGGCCAAAAACAUCAUGUAAUUUCACCUUCCUGUUUUGCGUUUUCUUCAAGUAGUUUGGGAAUAUAUGAUAACUCAACCACGGGUUGUCCAGUGUAAAGCUAAACAUCAUUUGAUGUGAACAAGGGACGCCAGCAUGCUUGAGAAAGCCAAGCACGAUUUCAGGGGUGAACUGCAGUUCUGUGAAGCCUGCAGCGAUCACGCUGUGUGACCCUUCAGGUGGAAGCUUAGAGAGCUCAGUGUCUGGGGCAAGGUCACCCGUAUGUCAUUAGCACCAGCAGCAAACCCAGGCUUCCUGACUCAGAGGCCAGAGCUCUUCCUCCGGGAUUGGAGGAAUCACUGCAGAGUGUAUUUCACUGUGGCUCUUCUGAGGGGUGUUAGAAGGUCCUGUGACCACACGAAGGUUCCUCUGAGAGAGGAGAACCAGAGGGAGAGUUGUAACUUGGUUGUUUCCAUCCUGCAUGCGAGACAAUGGGCUGGCUGUGGGGAGUCUGGACACUCUCCUCAAGGAAAUCUGGUCUGUGCACCAGCCAUUUGUCAGACAGAGUUUGAGAUCACUAAAUUGGCUUGCCACAGGCAGCAAGGGUAGAUGAAGAUGGCCCAGCAAAAGCUGUCCAAGUAGCCUACUGCCUCAGUUCUCCCACUCCCGGCUGCCUGUGGGACCCCUCUCCCUACCCAACCUACAAACUGGUAGAGUCCCUCCCCAGUCAGGAAGUCAUGCUUGUCUCCAUCCCUUUAGGACCAAGAGCUCUAGCACACAUGGGGGCUGUGGCCUGGUUCUCCCAUCACAGAAUCAGCUGUUGCGCUGGGGCCCAGGUUGGGUUAUGGCAGCCAGCUCUCAUAAGCCCAUCCCAGUUGCUUAACACCCAGUCUUAGGAGCAGAGACUGGAUCUGCAACCAAAUCCCUGUUUUCCAGUGGAGGAAAUGUUGAUCUCUACCACAGUCUCUCUGCUUAUAGGUUUUAUAAAAUAACGUAUAGAUAGGUUUUGAGCAUGAGAUGAGAUAAUCCAGGUAAAGUACUUAGCUUAGUGGCUGCUCAGGGUAAGCACUUGAUCAAUGGCAGCUAUAUCAUUGCUUAGAGACCUCCUCUCUGGCCUGGCUCCUUCACCUAUCAGGAUCUUUUCUCCUUGAACUUCCUGCAAUUGUUUUGUCUUCUGGCUGUGUGACCCUAGGCUUAAGCCUGACAACUCCAGAGCCCCACUCCACCAAGUGCUGCUCCACCAAGGGCCUGCUGGAACCCUUCUCAGGGCCCUGGUGUUUUCUGCAUAUACAGUCCACCAGCUGGGCUUCCUCCUCACUGCGCAUGCUUCCCUCCCUCAGGGUCAGCCUUUACCCUCUCACCCAGCGCCGCUGCAGUCCAGCUCCACUGAGGCUGCUGUGAAUCAACCCGCCUAGCUGUCAGUGGCUCCUGAGCCAGGACUGGGGCUGGGCCCUCCUGGAAGAAGCGCAAGUCCAUGCCACUGACUUGCAGUCACGCAAGUCAGGCAGAGUGCAGUCACGCAAAGGCAGCACCUCUCUCUAAACACUUUUAGGAAACUGGUUUCCAGCAACGCAGGCCACUUUAAAUUCCAGCAGAGAGAAGGACCUCGGGUCUCAUAAUCAAGAGGGCACAUUUCAUCAAGCCAGCAGAGAACUGUUCAAUUACACUUCCCUUUGCUUCAAUUUCUUUUUCUUCUCUUCCCCAGUCACUGGCUCUAAAUCAAUAUCUCUCACACUAUCUAUUCUGAGGGCCCAAUUGUUUGCUUUUCCCACACUAUAGUGUACCAAUACUUGUGUAAAACAGCAGAAAUAAAUUGCUACAGAAUAAAAAUGUCAUUCGAUUGUCACAGCAAUGUGAAAUUGCUGUAAUUUCUUCAAUAUUUUCCAUUUCUACACUUAAUCAGACCCACACCAUCCCCUGGGCCACACUGAGAGUAUUGCUGCUUCUGAAAGGAACGGAACCCCAAAAGGGUCCAUCUGCCUCAGACGCCCUCCCUGCCUGGGCAUUUGUCCUGUGAUAUUUGUCCACUCCGCAGUAGCUCUGCCCCACCCAGAGCAUGCAAUGGCAAGCUGGGGGUGUGGUUUGCAUAGGCUUUAGGUCGUUUUGAUCCCCAAGAGUCCAGCAGCCCUCAGGGUAAGGUAGUGCAGCAAUGUCCCCAGCCCAAGUGUGGCAGCAGCCCCUUACCAUU